UAGGGAAUCUUCCACAAUGGACGCAAGUCUGAUGGAGCAACGCCGCGUGAGUGAAGAAGGCUUUCGGGUCGUAAAACUCUGUUAUUGAAGAAGAACGUGCGUGACAGUAACUGGUCAUGCAGUGACGGUAUUCAAUCAGAAAGUCACGGCUAACUACGUGCCAGCAGCCGCGGUAAUACGUAGGUGGCAAGCGUUGUCCGGAUUUAUUGGGCGUAAAGCGAGUGCAGGCGGUCUUUUAAGUCUGAUGUGAAAGCCUUCGGCUUAACCGAAGAAGGGCAUCGGAAACUGGGAGACUUGAGUGCAGAAGAGGAGAGUGGAACUCCAUGUGUAGCGGUGAAAUGCGUAGAUAUAUGGAAGAACACCAGUGGCGAAGGCGGCUCUCUGGUCUGUAACUGACGCUGAGGCUCGAAAAGCGUG
rnacentral:rRNA from 1 species